rnacentral:rRNA from 1 species
UACGGAGGAUGCAAGCGUUAUCCGGAUUCAUUGGGUUUGAAGGGUGCGCAGGCGGAGAGAUAAGUCAGUGGUGAAAAACUGCCGCUCAACGGUAGUCUUGCCAUUGAUACUGUCUUUCUUGAGUAUGGAUGAGGUAGGCGGAAUGUGCAGUGUAGCGGUGAAAUGCAUAGAUAUUGCACGGAACACCAAUUGCGAAGGCAGCUUACUGGACCAUUACUGACGCUCAGGCACGAAAGCGUGGGGA